rnacentral:rRNA from 1 species
CUGACGGAGCAAGCCGCGUGAGUGAGACGGCCUUCGGGUUGUAAAGCUCUUUUAUUUGGGAGAAAAGGUGCUGUUCGUGUAGGGCAUUGUUCGGAUGUUAGAAAUAGAGACCUGCCGGCAAACUCCCUACCAGCCGCCGCGGUAAU